CGCUCGAUCUCCUCUUUGCUCAGUCGGCCCUUAUCGUUGGUGAUGGUGAUUUUGUUCACUUUGCCGGUGCUUUUGUCCACUGCAGACACGUUCAAAAUGCCAUUGGCGUCCACGUCGAAGGUGACCUCGAUCUGUGGGACCCCACGUGGAGCAGGCGGGAU